UAAGGAAUAUUGGUCAAUGGACGCAAGUCUGAACCAGCCAUGCCGCGUGAAGGAUUAAGGCCCUCUGGGUUGUAAACUUCUUUUAUAUGGGAAGAAAUGUACUUUUUCUAAAGUGCUUGACGGUACCAUAGGAAUAAGCACCGGCUAACUCCGUGCCAGCAGCCGCGGUAAUACGAAGGGUGCAAGCGUUAUCCGGAUUUACUGGGUUUAAAGGGUGCGUAGGCGGAUGAAUAAGUCAGUGGUGAAAUCUCCGAGCUUAACUCGGAAACUGCCGUUGAUACUAUUUGUCUUGAAUAUUGUGGAGGUAAGCGGAAUAUGUCAUGUAGCGGUGAAAUGCUUAGAUAUGACAUAGAACACCAAUUGCGAAGGCAGCUUGCUACACAAUCAUUGACGCUGAGGCACGAAAGCGUGGGGAUCAAACA
rnacentral:rRNA from 1 species